rnacentral:rRNA from 1 species
CCUACGGGAGGCAGCAGUGGGGAAUAUUGCACAAUGGGGGAAACCCUGAUGCAGCGACGCCGCGUGAGUGAAGAAGUAAUUCGUUAUGUAAAGCUCUAUCAGCAGGGAAGAAAAUGACGGUACCUGAGUAAGAAGCCCCGGCUAACUACGUGCCAGCAGCCGCGGUAAUACGUAGGGGGCAAGCGUUAGCCGGAUUUACUGGGUGUAAAGGGAGCGUAGACGGCAGUGCAAGUCUGGAGUGAAAGGCGGGGGGUCAACCCCCGGACUGCUCUGGAAACUGUACGGCUGGAGUGCAGGAGAGGUAAGUGGAAUUCCUAGUGUAGCGGUGAAAUGCGUAGAUAUUAGGAGGAACACCAGUGGCGAAGGCGGCUUACUGGACUGUUACUGACGUUGAGGCUCGAAAGCGUGGGGAGCAAACAGGAUUAGAUACCCUUGUAGUC